rnacentral:rRNA from 1 species
GACGGAGGGUGCAAGCGUUGUUCGGAAUUACUGGGCGUAAAGCGCGUGUAGGCGGCUUGCUAAGUCUGAUGUGAAAGCCCGGGGCUCACCCCCGGAAGUGCAUUGGAAACUGGCGAGCUCGAGUCCCGGAGAGGAGGGUGGAAGUCCUGGUGUAGCGGUGAAAUGCGUAGAUAUCAGGAGGAACACCGGUGGCGAAGGCGGCCCUCUGGACGGUGACUGACGCUGAGACGCGAAAGCGUGGGGAGCAAACAGG